GAUGAACGCUGGCGGCGUGCCUAAUACAUGCAAGUCGAACGAACGGACGAGAAGCUUGCUUCUUUGAUGUUAGCGGCGGACGGGUGAGUAACACGUGGAUAACCUACCUAUAUGACUGGGAUAACUUCGGGAAACCGGAGAUAAUACCGGAUAAUAUUUUGAACCGCAUGGUUCAAAAGUGAAAGACGGUCUUGCUGUCACUAAUAGAUGGAUCCGCGCUGCAUUAGCGAGUUGGUAAGGUAACGGCUUACCAAGGCAACGAUGCAUAGCCGACCUGAGAGGGUGAUCGGCCACACUGGAACUGAGACACGGUCCAGACUCCUACGGGAGGCAGCAGUAGGGAAUCUUGGGCAAUGGGCGAAAGCCUGACGGAGCAACGCCGCGUGAGUGAUGAAGGCCUUCGGAUCGUAAAGCUCUGUUAUUGGGGAAGAACAGAUGUGGAAGUAACUGUGCACAUCUUGACGGUACCUAAUCAGAAAGCCACGGCUAACUACGUG
rnacentral:rRNA from 1 species